UACACAAGCAUGGCACCAGCAUCUGCUCAGCUUCUGGUGAGGCCACAAGAAGCUUUAACUCAUGGCGGAAGGCGGAGGGAGAGCAGGUGUGUCAUAUGGCGAGAGAGGGAGCAAGAGAGAGGGGAGGGAGACUUCUCUUUUUUUGGCAAUCAGAUCUCGUGGUAACUAAUAAAGCAAAAAUUAAUUCAUUACUGUGGCAAGGACACCAAGCCAUUCCAAAAAGAUUCACCCCCAUGACCCAAACACCUCCCACCAGGUCCCACCUCCAGUGUUGGAGAUCGCAUGGGAGACAAAUAUCCAAACUAUAUCACUCCUCUCUAAACCAGUUUAGAGGGUUCAAACUUUGCCUUCUCCAGAUUUGCCUCUUCCCUGAGACCUUCCCUGAUAGCUUCCCACACAUACUGCUCUCCCCAGUCCAUCAAUGAAUUCCUGCAUCCAGGUGGCUAAUGGUUCCAUACUUACCCUUCAGCUGUGACCAGUUUUGUGUCCACCUCUGUCUUCCUCCCUCUUUUUGCUUAGAUGACACCCACUCAACCUCUAGAUGUCCCCUGCUACAGGUGGGAUGCCCUUGUUAUAUGUUCUUAUAGCACCACCUGUCUUCCCUUCAUGGCACUUAUAUUUGUAAAUGUAUUCAUGCCAUAGAGUACUGCAUGAAGGCAGUCGAGUGGGUGGUUCAAACGUAGACCCUGGUGUCAGCCUGCCUGGACUAGCUAUAUGACCUUGGGCAAGUUUCUUAACCUCUCUAUACCUCAAUUUCCUUACUUAUCAGGUGAAGAUAUUAAGAGUACCUCCUCAGAGUGUGAUUUUGUUAAUUUAUGUAAAGUACUGAGAACAUGCCUGGCAUGUAAUAGGCACUGUAUAAGUGAUAUCUAUUAUUAUUGUACAUGGGAUUAUUUGAUGUCUGUAUCCCAUCCCCCAUCAGACAUGAAAAAAUAGGUCUGCUUUUGAUCACCAUUUUACACUUAAAGAAAAGGGUCAGGCUGGGCAUGGUGGCUCACACUUGUAAUUCCAGCCCUUUGGGAGGCUGAGGCAGGUGGAUUGCUUGAGCCUAGGAGGGAGGGAGGGAAAGAAAGGAAGAAAGAAAGAGAGAGAGGGGGAGAGAGAGAGAGAAAGAAAGAAAGA
rnacentral:lncRNA from 10 species